rnacentral:misc_RNA from 1 species
GAUGAAGAACGUAGCGAAAUGCGAUACUUGGUGUGAAUUGCAGAAUCCCGUGAACCAUCGAGUCUUUGAACGCAAGUUGCGCCCGAAGCCAUUAGGCCGAGGGCACGCCUGCCUGGGCGUCACACGACGUUGCCCCCCCCAUCUACUCCUUCGGGAUUGCGGGGGGCGGAUGAUGGCCUCCCGUGCGCCUCGCCGCGCGGUUGGCAUAAAUGCCAAGUCCUCGGCGAUGCACGCCACGACAAUCGGUGGUUGCGAAACCUCGGUUGCCCGUCGUGUGCGGUCGUCGCGCAUCGAGGGCUCGAAAAAAUUGCCGGGUUCCGGCUCGGCUUUCAACGCGACCCCAGGUCAGGCGGGGUUACCCGCUGAAUUUAAGCAUAUCAAUAAGCGGAGGA